rnacentral:ncRNA from 2 species
CAUCAUUCUCAGGGCGGGGCGAAAUUCCCCACCGGCGGUAAGCGGUCCUCCGCAAGCCCGCGAGCGGCCUCUUUGGAGGUGUCAGCAGAUCUGGUGCGAUUCCAGAGCCGACGGUCACAGUCCGGAUGGAAGAGAAUGCGA